rnacentral:rRNA from 1 species
GACGAACGCUGGCGGCGUGCCUAACACAUGCAAGUCGAGCGGAGUGCAGCAAUGCACUUAGCGGCGAACGGGUGAGUAACGCGUGGAUAACCUACCCUUCUGACCGGGAUAACACAUCGAAAGAGGUGCUAAUACCGGAUGGACCACUUCGGUCACAUGGCUAAAGUGGGAAAGGGGGCGAAAGCUCCCACAAGAGGAUGGAUCCGCGUCCCAUUAGUUAGUUGGUGAGGUAACGGCUCACCAAGGCGACGAUGGGUAGCCGGCCUGAGAGGGUGACCGGCCACACUGGGACUGAGACACGGCCCAGACUCCUACGGGAGGCAGCAGUGGGGAAUCUUCCGCAAUGGACGAAAGUCUGACGGAGCAACGCCGCGUGAGUGAAGAAGGUCUUCGGAUCGUAAAGCUCUGUCUGGAGGGACGAACGAGCGAUGGUUGAAUAAGCCAUUGUUGUGACGGUACCUUCGGAGGAAGCCCCGGCUAACUACGUGCCAGCAGCCGCAGUAAAAC